GUUUAUUCACAGCACAAACAGAUGGUCAACGAAACCAAUUAACCUUUCCCGAUCUCUCUUUCAGGCUUUCCACGUUCUCAGAGUCUACGGACAAAUGAACACAAACCACCGGGAGACGUCCUGCCAGAGUGAGAUGAAUAGGACGGCCGGCGGGCGCGCACUGCUGGGCACAGACCCAGGCUCGGUGCUGAGGGGGACCACUGCUGACCCACCAGAUACUGAAUUCCAGCUGAGAGAAGAGAGAUGGUGGACAAAUUACCAAUGUUCAAUUGCAGUGCCAGGUUUUGGCCAGAAUGACACCUGUGUAGCCCUGUAAGCGCUCUGCGGAUGCACAUGAGGAUGGGACUCUCCCUGCAGCAUCUCUGUCUUGUUUGGUGUGAGCUGAAUCCUGGCAUGACUGAGCUGUAUUUUUGAAUUCCACAUUGGGGUUGCAGGCUGCUUAGGCUGCAGGUUUUUUGCCAUGACGUUCCCAACAGUCUGUGACUAUGCAGUAGUGCACAGCGUUAUCCCUUGAGCACUGCCUUAGG
rnacentral:lncRNA from 1 species